rnacentral:rRNA from 1 species
UAAUACCCGAUGUGCCGAGAGGUGAAAUUAAUUGGCCUGAGGAUGAGCUCGCGUCUGAUUAGCUAGUUGGUGGGGUAAGAGCCUACCAAGGCGACGAUCAGUAGCUGGUCUGAGAGGAUGAUCAGCCACACUGGGACUGAGACACGGCCCAGACUCCUACGGGAGGCAGCAGUGGGGAAUUUUCCGCAAUGGGCGAAAGCCUGACGGAGCAAGACCGCGUGCGGGAGGAAGGCCUUUGGGUUGUAAACCUCUUUUGAUAGGGAAGAAGAACAUGACGGUACCUAUCGAAUCAGCCUCGGCUAACUCCGUGCCAGCAGCCGCGGUAAUACGGAGGAGGCAAGCGUUAUCCGGAAUUAUUGGGCGUAAAGCGUCCGUAGGUGGUGAUUCAAGUCUAUUGUCAAAGCAUGAGGCUUAACCUCAUACCGGCAGUGGAAACUGCAUAGCUAGAGUGCGAUAGGGGCAAGGGGAAUUCCCAGUGUAGCGGUGAAAUGCGUAGAUAUUGGGAAGAACACCGGUGGCGAAAGCGCCUUGCUGGGCCUGCACUGACACUGAGGGACGAAAGCUAGGGGAGCGAAAGGGAUUAGAUACCCCAGUAGUCC